CUGUCUCAAAGAUUAAGCCAUGCAUGUCUAAGUAUAAGCAAUUAUACAGCGAAACUGCGAAUGGCUCAUUAUAUAAGUUAUCGUUUAUUUGAUAGUACCUUACUACAUGGAUAACCGUGGUAAUUCUAGAGCUAAUACAUGCUAAAAAUCCCAACUUCGGAAGGGAUGUAUUUAUUAGAUUAAAAACCAAUGCCCUCUGGGCUCUCUGGUGAUUCAUGAUAACUCUUCGAAUCGCAUGGCCUUGCGCUGGCGAUGGUUCAUUCAAAUUUCUUCCCUAUCAACUUUCGAUGUUUGGGUAUUGGCCAAACAUGGUUGCAACGGGUAACGGAGGGUUAGGGCUCGACCCCGGAGAAGGAGCCUGAGAAACGGCUACUACAUCCAAGGAAGGCAGCAGGCGCGCAAAUUACCCAAUCCCGACACGGGGAGGUAGUGACAAUAAAUACUGAUACAGGGCUCUUUCGGGUCUUGUAAUUGGAAUGAGUACAAUUUAAAUCCCUUAACGAGGAACAAUUGGAGGGCAAGUCUGGUGCCAGCAGCCGCGGUAAUUCCAGCUCCAAUAGCGUAUAUUAAAGUUGUUGUGGUUAAAAAGCUCGUAGUUGAACCUUGGGCCUGGCUGGCCGGUCCGCCUCACCGCGUGUACUGGUCCGGCCGGGCCUUUCCCUCUGUGGAACCCCAUGCCCUUCA
rnacentral:rRNA from 1 species